CCUACGGGAGGCAGCAGUGGGGGAUAUUGCACAAUGGGGGCAACCCUGAUGCAGCGACGCCGCGUGAGCGAUGGAGUACUUCGGUAUGUAAAGCUCUGUCAGCAGGGAAGAGAAUGACGGUACCUGACCAAGAAGCCCCGGCUAAAUACGUGCCAGCAGCCGCGGUAAUACGUAUGGGGCAAGCGUUAUCCGGAUUUACUGGGUGUAAAGGGAGCGUAGGCGGCAGGGCAAGCCUGAUGUGAAAGCCCGGGGCUCAACCCCGGGACUGCAUUGGGAACUGCCCCGCUCGAGUGCAGGAGGGGGAAGCGGAAUUCGUAGUGUAGCGGUGAAAUGCGUAGAUAUUAGGAGGAACACCGGUGGCGAAGGCGGCUUACUGGACUGUAACUGACGUUGAGGCUCGAAAGCGUGGGGAGCAAACAGGAUUAGAUACCCCAGUAGUC
rnacentral:rRNA from 1 species